UAAAGGACAAGAAAUUAACCCACUUGUACUA
rnacentral:piRNA from 1 species